GCUGGGAUGCCCGCCGCUUUGGGCCCUGAGUGCUCAGUGUCUAUUAUAUGAUUCGAAGUGUGGGAGAAAUUCCACAUUAACCAAGCCAAAACGAGGCCUCCGGAAAUAUUUGUGUUAAACUGACCUGCAGCCACAGGUUCUCAGGAGUGUCAUCCGGCUUCAUAUGGGGAGAUAUAUCUACUCCGAUAACCUUCAAGCGGUGUUAGCAUAGGUCACUUUGAGGGCAACAGCAGCGCUUACUUCACAAGACGGAUAUUGUUCGGCAACUUCGACAGCCCAAGCCCCGUUCCCAUAGCCGCAAUCGAGAACUCGCCUUAAUGAGUGCACUGGAGGAAAGAUCAAUCGAUUAUCGAAAACUUUGCUGAGAAUUCGAUGUUGUAGGUCGAGCCUCUCUAUUUCAUCCU
rnacentral:sRNA from 1 species